ACGAACAGAUUGCGGGUUAACAGCCCGUGGUCCUGACGGUACUGUUAAAGGAAACCCCGGCUAACUCCGUGCCAGCAGCCGCGGUAAUACGGGGGGGGUAAGCGUUGUUCGGAAUUACUGGGCGUAAAGGGCUCGUAGGCGGCCAACUAAGUCAGACGUGAAAUCCCUCAGCUUAACUGGGGAACUGCGUCUGAUACUGGAUGGCUUGGAUUCGGGAGAGGGAUGCGGAAUUCCAGGUGUAGCGGUGAAAUGCGUAGAUAUCUGGAGGAACACCGGUGGCGAAGGCGGCAUCCUGGACCGAUAUUGACGCUGAUGAGCGAAAGCCAGGGGAGCAAACGGGAUUAGAUACCCCGGUAGUCCUGGCCCUAAACGAUGAAUGCUUGGUGUAGCGGGUAUCGAUCCCUGCUGUGCCGAAGCUAACGCAUUAAGCAUUCCGCCUGGGGAGUACUGUCGCAAGGCUG
rnacentral:rRNA from 1 species